UCUACCUCUUACUGAGGGAUAGCCCAGAGAAAUUUGGAUUAACACCUCAUAGUAUGAUGAUUCGGCAUCGGAUUUUCAUUAAAGGUUACGGUAAGAGAUGAGUAUGCGUUCUAUUAGCUAGUAGGUAUGGUAACGGCAUACCUAGGCAACGAUAGAUAGGGGCCCUGAGAGGGGGAUCCCCCACACUGGUACUGAGACACGGACCAGACUCCUACGGGAGGCAGCAGUGAGGAAUAUUGGUCAAUGGGCGCAAGUGAACCAGCCAUGCCGCGUGCAGGAAGACUGCCCUAUGGGUUGUAAACUGCUUUUAUACAGGAAGAAACACUCCCUCGUGAGGGAGCUUGACGGUACUGUAAGAAUAAGGAUCGGCUAACUCCGUGCCAGCAGCCGCGGUAAUACGGAGGAUCCAAGCGUUAUCCGGAAUCAUUGGGUUUAAAGGGUCCGUAGUGGAUUAGUAAGUCAGAGGUGAAAUCCUGCAGCUCAACUGUAGAACUGCCUUUGAUACUGCUAGUCUUGAGUCAUUAUGAAGUGGUUAGAAUGUGUAGUGUAGCGGUGAAAUGCAUAGAUAUUACACAGAAUACCGAUUGCGAAGCAGAUCACUAAUAAUGUACUGACACUGAUGGACGAAAGCGUGGGGAGCGAACAGGAUUAGAUACCCUGGUAGUCCACGCCGUAAACGAUGGUCACUAGCUGUGUGGAUUUCGGUCUGCGUGGCUAAGCGAAAGUGAUAAGUGACCCACCUGGGGAGUACGUUCGCAAGAAUGAAACUCAAAGGAAUUGACGGGGGCCC
rnacentral:rRNA from 1 species